UUGAUCCUGCCGGACCCGACUGCUAUCAGAGUGAGACUAAGCCAUGCGAGUCAACGUAUGAAUAAUACGUGGCGAACGGCUCAGUAACACGUAGUCAACAUGCCCAAAGGACGUGGAUAACCUCGGGAAGCUGAGGAUAAACCGCGAUAGGUCAUAAGUACUGGAAUGUUUUAUGGCUCAAAUCUACAUGGCCUCUGGAUUGGACUGCGGCCGAUCAGGCUGUUGGUGAGGUAAUGGCCCACCAAACCUGUUACCGGUACGGGCUCUGAGAGGAGGAGCCCGGAGAUGGGCACUGAGACAAGGGCCCAGGCCCUAUGGGGCGCAGCAGGCGCGAAACCUCUGCAAUAGGCGAAAGCUUGACAGGGUUACUCUGAGUGAUUCCCGCUAAGGGAAUCUUUUGGCAUCUCUAAAAACGAUGCAGAAUAAGGGGUGGGCAAGUCUGGUGUCAGCCGCCGCGGUAAUACCAGCACCCCGAGUGGUCGGGACGAUUAUUGGGCCUAAAGCAUCCGUAGCCGGUCUUGCAAGUCUUCCGUUAAAUCCACCUGCUUAACAGAUGGGCUGCGGAAGAUACUACAAGACUAGGAGGCGGGAGAGGCAAGCGGUACUCAGUGGGUAGGGGUAAAAUCCUCUGAUCCAUUGAAGACCACCAGUGGCGAAGGCGGCUUGCCAGAACGCGCUCGACGGUGAGGGAUGAAAGCUGGGGGAGCAAACCGGAUUAGAUACC
rnacentral:rRNA from 1 species